rnacentral:rRNA from 1 species
CAAGUCGAACGAGAAUCUGGAGGUUCAAGUUUUCGGACAAGAACUUCGGAGGAAAGUGGCGGAAGGGUGAGUACAACAUGGAUAAUCUACCUUCAAGUUGGGUAUAGCUUCCCGAAAGGGGAGAUAAUCCCGAAUGUGGUGAUCCGGCGCCUGUCGGAGAAUCCAAAGGUGGGGACCGCAAGGCCUGCCGCUUGAAGAUGAGUCCGUGCACUAUCAGCUAGUUGGUGAGGUAAUGGCUCACCAAGGCGAUGACGGUUAGCUGGUCUGAGAGGAUGGUCAGCCACACUGGGACUGAGAUACUGCCCAGACUCCUACGGGAGGCUGCAGUCGAGAAUCAUUCGCAAUGGGCGCAAGCCUGACGGUGCGACGUCGCGUGGAGGAUGAAGGUCUUCGGAUUGUAAACUCCUGUCAUGUGGGAUAAAUGGCCAGGGCAUGAAUAGUGCCUUGGAAUGAUAGUACCACAGGAGGAAGGGACGGCUAACUCUGUG